ACUCGACAUCAAUAAUUUAGCACAUUAUUUACAUUUUGAGUGAGAUUGUGAUAAAAUGGCAUCUUCAAAAAAUUUGCUCUUUCUUAUUGGUGUUCUCUUUGCACUUGUGCUCCUCAUUUCCUUGAUGCAACAGCUGCAGAUCAGAAGAGCGUGAAAACCACUGGUGUCCACGAUGCCAGUUCAGGCAAAGAUCGUUGCAGACAUGGUUGCUGCCACUGGUACCAUGGACACUGCCAAAGAUGCUGUCGAACUGCCAAGGAGACCCCUGAAGCCACAUCUGGAGAUGAGGAUACCGUAACCGCAGAUCGUUGCAGACAUGGUUGCUGCUACUGGUACCAUGGACAUUGCCAAAGAUGCUGUUAACCUACUGAAGCUACAUCCGGAGAUGAGGUCAAAAAUUAAUGCUAAAUAAAUAAGGGCGUGACACAGGAUCCGUGACACCUAUAUUAUUACCUUAAUAUGUUAUGUUGUGUUUGCUUUUAAUGGUUGAUUUCCUAUGUGUGUAAAAGAUUUAUGCGGCUUCUCUUUGAAUUGGUGUAGAAUCAACAGGGGAAGCAUGUAAUGAGUACUCAGUUCGAGUGCUCUUCUUAUGUUGUUGUCAUGUUGAAUAAAUAAAUCUAUGAUCAUCUACUGCAAUUGAUGAUCUCUA